CAAAGCUUGGAUUUAAAAAAAAACAACCACUUUUUUCACUGUCAUAUAUUGAAUAGCAGUCAGUGUCCUUAAAGCGGGUGUGUUACGCUAACAGUGGAUACGGUGACCAUUGCCACCACUUAGAUCUGGUGACACAAAGCUUGUAUUUAAAAAAAACCAACCACUUUUUUCACUGUUAUAUAUUGAAUAGCAGUCAGUGUCCUUAAAGCGGGUGUGUUACGCUAACAGUGGAUACGGUGACCAUUG